GGAGAGGUGGCAGAGUGGUCGAAUGCGCUAGUCUUGAAAACUAGAGUCUCAGCAAUGGGACCGUGAGUUCGAAUCUCACCCUCUCCG
rnacentral:tRNA from 1 species